rnacentral:rRNA from 1 species
UACGUAGGGGGGCGAGCGUUGUCCGGAAUCAUUGGGCGUAAAGCGCGUGUAGGCGGCUUGAUAAGUCUGGUGUGAAAUCUUGGGGCUCAACCCCAAGCCUGCACUGGAUACUGUCAAGCUUGAGUCCGGGAGGGGAGAGCGGAAUUCCUAGUGUAGCGGUGAAAUGCGCAGAUAUUAGGAAGAACACCGGUGGCGAAGGCGGCUCUCUGGAACGGUACUGACGCUGAGACGCGAAAGCGUGGGGAGCGAAACAGG